UGGUGUUUGAUUUGGUGGUGGCAUCUAAAUAAAAUGAACAGAUUUGCUUUUAUAGGAUAUAAAGUAAAAGGCAAUAUAAUUAACUACUUCCUGGAAAGCAAUACAUCACACAAAAAGCACAGAUUACUUAUUAAAUCAGUGACAUCAAAAUUUCAGACUUCUCACAUAAUUUGACUGUUUUGAAGAGUCACAUUACUGAGGUUGUGUUUCUUCACUGAUUAAGUUCUCAAAUAUGGUAAACACUGUGGUUAAAUUUUUGGCCUCUUUCUCCUUUGAACAAAUUUAGAAGUAAUGUCACCAAGGAAUAAGAAGUAGAAACUAACGCCACGAUCUUCAGGCAUUUCUAAAAACUUUACGACAAGCUUUUCAAAAAUGACUAUUCAUUCUCUGGGGAAAACUCUCAUAGCACACAUGUACAGCAAUGCUUUUUUAAAAAAAUAUUCUCAGAUUUUUUAGGUUUCUGCUUAUGCUUCAUCCCUUAGGCAAAAUAUAUUACAGAUGAGUCUUUGCAUCUCAACGCUGCGAGGUCAGAAGGUGGGAAGAAUCCCUUCUCCCAGACAUGUGGGUCACCAAUACUGUUAUGCUAGCACUUAGCCUUAGCCAGGGUCUCUCAUCCGUGGCACUAUUGACAUUUGGAGCUGGACAAUUUUUAGUUAUGGUGGUCUAAGCACUGCAGGAUGUUCAGCAGGAUAUUUGCCUGAGGGGCAAAAUCACCCAAGGUUGGGAAUGACUGGCCUUGAACUUUCUGUGUUAGAAGUAUAAAGGAUUUCCUAGUAAACAUUAAUUAAAAGUCUCCAUCACAACAAGGCCCUCAGAAUACCGACAGCAGGAAGGGCUAUGUGUAGUAGGCACUGCAGAGUAUUCUACCUGCAUUAUCACCACAGUGUGUUUAAGAACAUGGGUCUGAGGUGGAUAAGGAUUCAGUUUUGGCUCUGCCAUUUCCUAGCUGGUGAUGUGGGAUGAAUGACUCCUUCACUCUCAGUAUCUUUAGCUCUGAAAUGGGGACACUAAGAAUACUGGCUGCACAGAGUUGUUAUGAGGAUUAAAGGGGAGAAUGUAGGGUGCUUAGCUUAAACGCUAGAAAAGUGACCAAAAGAGGCUGGUCUGAGUACAGUAGUGUUUACGACUAAUUGAUCACAACCAGUUACAGAUUUCUUUGUUCCUUCUCCUCUCCCACUGCUUCAGUUGGCUAGCCUUGAAUAAAAAAUUUUUAAAAAGUGACCACAAGAAAAGUUAGCUGUUAUUCACAUUCUCACUACAUAUCAUGAUCCCAUGGGGUAAGUGUCUAGGUCUGUAAGGUUCCAAAAGGCCCAUGUUCUGAACCACUCACCUAUUAGAGAUCAUCUAGGCCAGUGGUCUGCCAGGGGCUUCGGAUAAUGCUGCCUGUCGCUGCUUUCAUGCUACAGAGAAAGCAGCAGCAGCAGAACUGGGUAGUGUGACAGAGACCCUACGGCCCACAGAACCAAACAUAUUUACUACCUGGCCCUUUAUAGAAGCAGUUUGCCAAUGACCUCUGGUGUAAAUAUUUGAAGGCCUAUGUGCAAGAUAAUCUUGGUGCAUUGUCCAAAACUUCAUUUUCAAAAACAGGCAGUGGGCCAUAGUUUGUUGAUUCCUGAGGUGGACGCUGCUAUUGUAUCCCCCACGCCCUUUCUUUUCCAGGCUAAAUAUUUCUAGUUUCUUUACAGGCUGUCUGGUUCACUAAAAUUUCUAUUCUUGAUAAUCCUGUGGCCCUCUGAAGUAUAUGCCUGAGCCUCCCGUUAAAACACGAUUCCAAACUUUAGACCACAAUUUCUGAUGUUGUCUAUCACAAAAUGUAGUGAUGUCACAUCAACCUUGCCCUCACUUCUCAAUGGCAUUAAAUUUGCUGGCAGUCACACGACAGUGAACCACCCUAGUGACUCGGGCAGGCUGGCACCCUAUUGUACCUGAAGAAGUUCCCCAAUCAUGUAAUGUGUCUACAAAGUUUCCCCAGACCAAAGAUACCUUAACUAACUCUAGCUAUGGUUCUUACAGAAUUUCCCAUCUACCACCUAGUAACUGUCCCAGAAGAAAAUAUUCAUUUGGUAUGGCUUAUUCCCAGUACAACUAUGCUGGCUCCUCAUAAUCACUCUGGUUUUUUUCCCAGGCACUCCCUGAAACUACACUUACUAACACAUUCUAGAUUUUCACUGUAGAUAGAAUAUCUAACUUCUCUGUUUUCAAAGGACAGAAGAAUUCAUCCUAGCCAUUUGCAACUUGUCUUGGGAGUCUGUAUAAGCAACCCUGCAUAAAAAGCUCCAGAAAGAAAAGAUGAGUGUGGAUUACCAGAUUUGAAGGAUCUAG
rnacentral:lncRNA from 10 species